rnacentral:rRNA from 1 species
CAGUCGCCGCGGGAAUACGGAGGGUGCAAGCGUUAAUCGGAAUUACUGGGCGUAAAGCGUGCGUAGGCGGUUCGUUAAGUCUGUUGUGAAAGCCCCGGGCUCAACCUGGGAAUGGCAAUGGAUACUGGCGAGCUAGAGUGUGUCAGAGGAUGGUGGAAUUCCCGGUGUAGCGGUGAAAUGCGUAGAGAUCGGGAGGAACAUCAGUGGCGAAGGCGGUCAUCUGGGACAACACUGACGCUGAGGCACGAAAGCGUGGGGAGCAAACAGGAUUAGAUACCCCCGUAGUCCCUGUCUCUUAUAC